GAUGAAGAACGCAGCGAAAUGCGAUAAGUAGUGUGAAUUGCAGAAUUCAGUGAAUCAUCGAAUCUUCGAACGCACAUUGCGCCCCUCGGUAUUCCGUGGGGCAUGCCUGUUCGAGCGUCAUUUAACCCCUCAAGCCUAGCUUGGUAUUGGGUGCUUGUCCCGCCUCUCGCGCGGCGACUCACCUCAAAGUCAUUGGCAGCCCGCAUCUCGCCGGCCGUGAGCGCAGCACAGACGCGCUCUUGGCAACGACGGAUCGGCUCUCCAAAAGCUUAUUUCAACCACUGACCUCGGAUCAGGUAGGGAUACCCGCUGAACUUAAGCAUAUCAAUAAGCGGAGGA
rnacentral:misc_RNA from 1 species